UCCUCCAACCACCAUGAAGGGGAAAGAGGCAGGAGAUUGGUUCAGUCACAAUGGCCCGUGGUCCAAUGGGCUAUGCUUACCUAAGCACAUCUCCAUGGAAACCUCAGACAUGGGUCAGCGUGUCCAGGCUGCUGAACUGUCCACUUGAUGGGGGGUGGGGUGGCACAGCUGGGUUGUAUGGGGCAGGAGCUUGGCUCAUCUGGAAUUCACUGUAGGUUACUCUUCAUUACAUUCUUCAUGCUGCCUUUGUUACAGAGACUAGUAUAAGGACAAGUCUCACUGAGCUCAGUGAGCCACUCUACCAAGCUGGUGAAACUGCAGAGCGGUUGUAGGCACCGCCCCCGCCCCCUUCACUAUCUGAUCAGUCAGCAGUACAGGGACACAGUUUUGACAGUAGACAGGACAUCCCCAGAUGUGGCUCUGAAGAACUUCAGCUUACAAACUCAGAAUUUCGGCUGUAUAUUUAGGAACUGAGGUCUAAGAACUAGCAGUUACUACUUCCAGGCAGAGCUUGAAGACCUCAUACAACCUUGUCAGGUCACAACUUCCAUGAACUCUAUUUAUGUACUUACUGAACUUGAGAAGGAAUUGUGAACUGCUGCUCCUUCUGGACACGUCCAGCGAUGGAUGACAGACAGGAUCAGGGCCAAGAAUUCCAUUAGAAUGCAGAUGGUGCCAAGGAUGCAAUUUGUAAAGUCACACUAGGACAGCCAUGCCCAACAGAGACUCAGUGGUUAAGGAAGAGAUGGAGAAGUUGUGAUGUGAGUAGCUGCUUGCCUCAACCUCUGCCCGACUAUGGACUGUAACAUGGAGCUGAAUAAAUAAUCCCCUUCCC